rnacentral:rRNA from 1 species
AUAGCGUAUAUUAAAGUUGUUGAGGUUAAAAAGCUCGUAGUUGAACCUUGGGCCUAGCCGGCCGGUCCGCCUCACCGCGUGCACUGGCUCGGUUGGGCCUUUCCUUCUGGAGAACCCCAUGCCCUUCACUGGGUGUGGUGGGGAACCAGGACUUUUACUCUGAACAAAUUAGAUCGCUUAAAGAAGGCCUAUGCUCGAAUAUAUUAGCAUGGAAUAAUAGAAUAGGACGUGUGGUUCUAUUUUGUUGGUUUCUAGGACCGAAGUAAUGAUUAAUAGGGAUAGUUGGGGGCAUUAGUAUUUAAUUGUCAGAGGUGAAAUUCUUGGAUUUAUUAAAGACUAACUUCUG